CCUACGGGGGGCUGCAGUGGGGAAUAUUGGACAAUGGGCGAAAGCCUGAUCCAGCCAUGCCGCGUGUGUGAAGAAGGCCUUCGGGUUGUAAAGCACUUUCAGUGGGGAAGAAAGCCUUGGGGCUAAUACCCUCGAGGAAGGACAUCACCCACAGAAGAAGCACCGGCUAACUCCGUGCCAGCAGCCGCGGUAAUACGGAGGGUGCGAGCGUUAAUCGGAAUUACUGGGCGUAAAGCGCGCGUAGGCGGUCUGAUAAGCCGGUUGUGAAAGCCCCGGGCUCAACCUGGGAACGGCAUCCGGAACUGGCAGGCUAGAGUGCAGGAGAGGAAGGUAGAAUUCCCGGUGUAGCGGUGAAAUGCGUAGAGAUCGGGAGGAAUACCAGUGGCGAAGGCGGCCUUCUGGACUGACACUGACGCUGAGGUGCGAAAGCGUGGGUAGCAAACAGGAUUAGAUACCCCGGUAGUC
rnacentral:rRNA from 1 species